rnacentral:rRNA from 1 species
GCUUGUCUCAAAGAUUAAGCCAUGCAUGUCUUAGUGUAAAUAACUCUUAUGAAACUGCGAAUGGCUCAUUAAAUCAGUUAUCAAAUACGUGAUGGUCGCCUACUACAUGGAUAACCGUAGUAAUUCUAGAGCUAAUACAUGCACAAAGGCCCACGCAAGUGGGUUGUGAUUAUUAGAUUCAAACCGGCCUCGUUCUGGUGAUUCAUAAUAAUUGGUCGAACCGCAUGCCCUUGUGGUGGCGGUGAUUCAUCCUUAUUUCUGCCCUAUCAUGCUCUCGAUGGUAGUGUAUUGGACUACCAUGGCUCUCACGGGUAACGGGGAAUUAGGGUUCGAUUCCGGAGAAGGAGCCUGAGAAACGGCUACUACAUCUAAGGAAGGCAGCAGG